rnacentral:rRNA from 1 species
GACAGAGGGUGCAAACGUUGCUCGGAAUCACUGGGCGUAAAGGGCGUGUAGGCGGGAAUGUAAGUCGGGCGUGAAAUCCCUAGGCUCAACCUAGGAACUGCACUCGAAACUGCGUUUCUUGAGUACUGGAGAGGAAAGCGGAAUACCUGGUGUAGAGGUGAAAUUCGUAGAUAUCAGGUGGAACACCAGCGGCGAAGGCGGCUUUCUGGACAGUAACUGACG